CGUGGUCAUCUAUUUAGUAUGCAGUAUCCAAUUGAGUUGAAUAAUAAGGUGUACGAUCUUGAUAUGCAAAGCCAUGAUACAUGAUAUUGUUCUACCCGCAAUAUCUUCCUUUCCUGUGUCCAGCUAUAUAUUCUAUUAGGAUAUUUUUUUUUAAUAUCUUAGUAAGCGUUUUUGUCAUUGACAUGGUCAUCUACUGAACAUUAUUGUAUUCACUUUUAUGUAGGCUCCUGCUGAGAGAAGACUAGUUUUUCGCGAUGAACUGCAGAAGACAGGUACUGCAGGUGCCAAAGUAUUACGUGAGAUUGGAAAAAAGUUAAAAAAGAUGGAGAAGUUAGGAAUGGUGGAUAUACUUGAAGAAGUGCAUGAAGCAGCAGAGAACUUGCAGAAAAAGAUUGAUCAAAAGUCAUACCUUCUCGUCAAUU
rnacentral:lncRNA from 1 species